CCUACGGGAGGCAGCAGUGGGGAAUAUUGGGCAAUGGAGGAAACUCUGACCCAGCGACGCCGCGUGCGGGAUGAAGACCUUCGGGUUGUAAACCGCUUUCAGUAGGGAAGAAGCGAAAGUGACGGUACCUACAGAAGAAGCACCGGCUAACUAUGUGCCAGCAGCCGCGGUAAUACAUAGGGUGCAAGCGUUGUCCGGAAUUAUUGGGCGUAAAGAGCUCGUAGGUGGUUCGUCACGUCGGAUGUGAAAAUCUGGGGCUCAACCCCAGACCUGCAUUCGAUACGGGCGAUCUAGAGUGUGGUAGGGGAGACUGGAAUUCCUGGUGUAGCGGUGGAAUGCGCAGAUAUCAGGAGGAACACCAAUGGCGAAGGCAGGUCUCUGGGCCAUUACUGACACUGAGGAGCGAAAGCGUGGGGAGCGAACAGGAUUAGAUACCCUGGUAGUCCACGCAGUAAACGGUGGGCACUAGUUGUGGGAACCUUCCACGGUUUCUGCGACGCAGCUAACGCAUUAAGUGCCCCGCCUGGGGAGUACGAUCGCAAGNUUAAAACUCAAAGGAAUUGACGG
rnacentral:rRNA from 1 species